rnacentral:snRNA from 1 species
GAAUAUGAGGGUGCUCUGGCUGCAACAAGUCACCCCAAUGAUCUGGUUGGCUAGGCAGAUGUCCUCUUCCUCCCUCACUGCUCUGUGUGACCUGCCAACACUGCUGGCUCAGUGGAAGAGGACGACCACCCUAGACAGCGGACCACUUCCUUGGCCAAAGGUAAACGAGUAGCUAUACUACCCUGCUAGAACUUUCAAAUAAAGUCCUAUCUGGUGAGGGCUUUCUUGCUGUAUUAUUACAGCAAAUAUGGGAGACCAUAUUUGGUGAGACAGUGUGAAUGUGCUAGGUUGGGUCUCUCUUC